GGGCAGUUCCUCCCCAGGCGAGCAGUCGGACAGGUCCUGGAGGGAGCAGCACAGGAAGAGGUCAUUCAGCCCAAGCAGAGCGUGUGGGCAGUUCCUCCCCAGGCGAGCAGUCGGACAGGUCCUGACUUGACGGUGAGCAGCUGAUGAAGUAUCUGGGAGUGGACAAUGAUCGGGAAAUCUUACUUCCUCCUGUCACUUCUCCAAGUUGGACUACCACAAGUGUGGAAAGGUGACACUCCACGAGAGGCGACAGCGCAGGAAGGUUCGUGUGUACAGAUUCCAUGUCAUUACAGCUACCAAUCAUAUUUAAUAGCGAGAUCACAUGUCGGAAUCUGGUAUAUGAGAAGGAUUGGGGAAAGUUGGAAUGAAUGGUCUAUAGCCUUUCACUCCGAGGAUCAUAAUCGCGAGUUACCACGGUUCCACCAUCGGACCCGGCUGUCUGGAGACCUGAAAGAUGGUGACUGUUCCCUGAUUAUAAACAACAUCAGACGGGAAGAUGCAGGAUAUUAUUUAUUCACGUUAGAAUAUGACAGCAGGAAUA